rnacentral:rRNA from 1 species
UGCCAGCAGCCGCGGUAAUACGUAGGUGGCGAAGCGUUAUCCGGAGUUUAUUGGGCGUUAAAGAGAGUGCAGGCGGUUUUCGUAAGUCUGAUGUGAAAGACUUCGGCUUAACCGGAGAAGUGCAUCGGAAACUGGAUAACUUAGAGUGCAGAAGAGGGUAGUGGAACGUCCGAUGUGUAGCGGUGGAAGUGCGUAGAUAUAUGGAAGAACACCAGUGGCGAAGGCGGCUACCUCGGUCUGCAACUGACGCUGAGACUCGAAAGCAUGGGUAGCGAACAGGAUUAGAUACCCUGGUAG